UUAAUGAUUGAUUCUAUCAUUUUGUAUUAGUUUUAUGUUUAAUAUUAAAUAUAAGUUUUUGCGUGGUAUUUAAUUAUCUAAAUGGUAAUAUUAAUUUUAUUUUUAGUUUUUAAUUUUAUUUAUUCUUAUAAUUAUGAAUUUAGUUAAUUUUAUUAGGGCUGUAAAAAGUUGUGCCAGCAUACGCGGUUACACAUCUAGCUCAAAUUAAUAUUUUUAGGGUACAUUUAUUAUUUUUAUUCAUGAAUUUUAUUUUUUAUUAUUAGGUGGAAUUUUAAUUUAGAUUAUAUCUUUUUGGUUAUAUAUACAUGUGAAAUUAAGGAUUAAAACUAGGAUUAGAUACCCUAUUAUUCUUAAUGUAAUUUUUGACUUUAGUAUUAAUAGUUACGAUCUUUAAAUUAAAAGAAUUUGGCGGUAAUUUAGUCUUUUCAGAGGAACCUGUUCUAUAAUUGAUAAUCCACGUUAUAUUUUACUUUGAUUUUUAGUUUGUAUAUCUCUGUCAUUGAAUGUUUUAUUAGAAUAUUUUCUUUGAUUAAUUAUUUAAUUAAUGUCAGGUCAAGGUGCAAUUAUAUCAAAGGUUGAGAUGGGUUACAUUUAAGGUUAAUUUAUUGGGAUAUUUUAUGAUUUAUUUUUUAUUAAAAAGGAUUUGAAGGUAAUGUUUAUUAUUUUAUAAUUAUGAUUUAAGCUCUAAAUUAUGCACACAUCGCCCGUCACUCUCAUUAUUAAGAUGGGAUAAGUCGUAACAAAGUAAUUUUAUCGGAAGAUGAGGUUUGAGUUAUAAA
rnacentral:ncRNA from 1 species